rnacentral:tRNA from 1 species
UUAGCUAAAGCUUUUAAGAAGCGUGAGAUUUUUAAUUUUAAGAUCCCUUUUAGGGUGGCUAG